UACAGAGGUCCCAAGCGUUGUUCGGAUUUACUGGGCGUAAAGGGCGCGCAGGCGGCGCAUUUUGUCAGGCGUGAAAGCCCCGGGCUUAACCUGGGAACUGCGUUUGAUACGGAUGGGCUAGAGUUCGGGAGAGGAGAGUGGAAUUCCCAGUGUAGAGGUGAAAUUCGUAGAUAUUGGGAAGAACACCGGUGGCGAAGGCGGCUCUCUGGACCGAGACUGACGCUGAGGCGCGAAAGCGUGGGGAGCAAACAGG
rnacentral:rRNA from 1 species